rnacentral:rRNA from 1 species
GAUGAACGCUAGCGGCAGGCCUAACACAUGCAAGUCGAGGGGUAGAGGCUUUCGGGCCUUGAGACCGGCGCACGGGUGCGUAACGCGUAUGCAAUCUGCCUUGUACUGAGGGAUAGCCCAGAGAAAUUUGGAUUAACACCUCAUAGUAUUUUAGUGUGGCAUCACAUUAUUAUUAAAGGUUACGGUACAAGAUGAGCAUGCGUCCCAUUAGCUAGUUGGUAUGGUAACGGCAUACCAAGGCUACGAUGGGUAGGGGUCCUGAGAGGGAGAUCCCCCACACUGGUACUGGACCACGGACCAGACUCCUACGGGAGGCAGCAGUGAGGAAUAUUGGUCAAUGGUCGAAAGACUGAACCAGCCAUGCCGCGUGCAGGAUGAAGCAUCUAUGGUGUGUAAACUGCUUUUGUACGGGAAGAAACACCGCUACGUGUAGCGGCUUGACGGUACCGUAAGAAUAAGGAUCGGCUAACUCCGUGCCAGCAGCCGCCGUAAAAC